UUCAUCACUCUCUCUAUCUCCUCUCUCGCUCGCCUGGACGUAUACAAAUGGAACUAAAAUUGAAUUUCGCGGACAAAAUUAGGGUUUAGGUUUUACAUCAAACGCCGACAGCGAGACGAGGAGGAGGAGGAGGCGUCGUCGACUUUCGGCCAUGGAGCCACUGCACAAAUUACCCUCGAGCACAGGUAUCCAGAUUGCCUGUUAUACCAUAUUCUUCCUCAAUGAGCCUAAAAUGCUGUCUCCAAAGGUCGCCCCUCUUGCGUACUGCUUGAUGUCUUGAUGCAUGCAGUUCAAGGGAGCCUCCCUUUUUUUCGGGCAUGUACUGGUUUGUGAUUCUUUUUCCAAUUCUUUUUAUUUCAAUGCAUUAUAUUUAAUUAAUUGUCAAAUGUGUUUGUCUGUGUUUGGUUUUUGAUUUAGAAAGUUCUGAGCCUUUUUUAUUUUAGUUUAUUCAGUUUUUUCCCAUUUAUUCUGGUGUUGUAUAUAUAUCUGCAACGAGAAGAAAAAUAUGUGUAUUAAUGAAUUGUUCCCAUUUAACUUGGUUUAUCAAUUGAAACUUUACCAGA